rnacentral:lncRNA from 1 species
GGUCACACAAAGCAAACCAAAUCUCACACUCGGCGUCCGGACGGCCCCGGCGGCCCCGGCCCACCCCCACCCCCACCCCGAGGCCAGAUUCGGCCGGGGGACGCGCACGUACCUGGACGAGAGGCCGGCAGGGUGGGCGCGCCACGUCUCGGGGCUCGGCCCGCGCAGCCUGCGGCCUUUAUAGCGCGCCCUCCCCCGCCCCCUCCCCCUCCCCGACAGCCACGUCGGAGCGGCCGGAGGCGGGGGCCCGGGAGCCACCGACGGUCUGAGGGCCCGGGAGAGGGAGUCACCGAAAGUAACGCUCGGGCGCGCGCGCGCGAGGGAAGGAGCCGUGGGGCUCCUGGGGCGCAGAGGGGCCCCCGGGCGCGGAGGGGGUCCCGGGCCGGGAAGGGCAGGGUCGGGGGCGGGGCCCCGGGAGGUCAGGCGCCGGGUGGGGCGCUCGGGUUUCACCCGGGCAGGCAGGAGGGGAGGAGGCGCGGCCGAGGGGCGGGGCGGGGGCGGGCCGAGGGCGGGGCGGGGGCGGGGCGAGGGCGGGCCGGGCCGGGCCGGGGCGGGGCGAAGCGGCCCCGCGCUCCCCGCCCGCGCUCCCCGCCCGCGCUCCGCGCUCCGCGCUCGGCUCUACUCGCCGGGAAGGCGGCGCCGGCGGCGGCUGCUCUCGCUGCGCCCGCUCCCGCGCGCUGUCCUCCCGCCGCGGGUGGGCUCCGCAGCCCCCUGCCAGCCGCGGCCGUGCCCGGUGCCCGCUCUCCGCCUCCGCCUGCCCUGCGCAGGGGCGGCCCGGCCCGCGUGGCCCUUCCCGGGGGCUCCCCGCUCCUACCCGAGGCUCCGCUGCGGGGCUGGCUCCGGCACCCAACUUUGCCUUUCCUCGUCGGUCGCCCCCGCCGGGCGCGACCCUGCUCACCCCCGGCCCGGCCGCGCGCCCGGGGACGGUGCGCCCCGCGCGCACAGCGACGUCCCCAGCCCGGAGCGCCGCGAGCGGUGGGCGGCCCCGGGGAAGGGGCCGGGGGCGGCGGCGGCCGCUGCCUCGACUUCCCUCGCGGGCGCUGA